UUGUCUUUACAAAAUAACCUGGUUAGGUAAAAGUCUGAAAGCUACAUCUGACCACCUCUCGGACACUCAACUGUACAUGGACUCAGCAAAAGCUUUCAUCAGAAAAAUACAAAUGCUUGAUGUAGAGGACAUCCGACAGUGCUGAUCCUUAACGCACUUUAACUACUUUAUCCAUGUAUUCACCAUUACUAGUAGAGAUAAUGAAAAAAAACAACUGGCCAUUGGUAACAUUAAUAAUAGAGUUGUUAGUCAGUACAGUAUAGGUUGUUAGUCAGUACAAUAUAGGUUGUUAGUCAGUACAGUAUAGGUUGUUAGUCAGUGCAGUAUAGGUUAGGGUUGUUAGUCAGUACAAUAUAGGUUGUUAGUCAGUACAGUAUAGGUUGUUAGUCAGUACAGUAUAGGUUAGAGUUGUUAGUCAGUACAAUAUAGGUUGUUCGUCAGUGCAGUAUAGGUUGUUAGUCAGUGCAGUAUAGGUUGUUAGUCAGUGCAGUAUAGGUUGUUAGUCAGUGCAGUAUAGGUUGUUAGUCAGUACAGUAUAGGUUAGGUUGUUAGUCAGUACAAUAUAGGUUGUUCGUCAGUACAGUAUAGGUUAGAGUUGUUAGUCAGUACAAUAUAGGUUGUUAGUCAGUGCAGUAUAGGUUGUUAGUCAGUGCAGUAUAGGUUGUUCGUCAGUACAGUAUAGGUUAGAGUUGUUAGUCAGUACAAUAUAGGUUGUUCAUCAGUACAGUAUAGGUUAGAGUUGUUAGUCAGUACAAUAUAGGUUGUUCGUCAGUACAGUAUAGGUUGUUAGUCAGUGCAGUAUAGGUUGUUAGUCAGUGCAGUAUAGGUUGUUAGUCAGUGCAGUAUAGGUUGUUAGUCAGUACAAUAUAGGUUAGAGUUGUUAGUCAGUACAAUAUAGGUUGUUCGUCAGUACAGUAUAGGUUAGAGUUGUUAGUCAGUACAAUAUAGGUUGUUCGUCAGUACAGUAUAGGUUGUUAGUCAGUACAGUAUAGGUUGUUAGUCAGUACAGUAUAGGUUAGAGUUGUUAGUCAGUACAAUAUAGGUUGUUCGUCAGUACAGUAUAGGUUGUUAGUCAGUGCAGUAUAGGUUGUUAGUCAGUGCAGUAUAGGUUGUUAGUCAGUACAAUAUAGGUUGUUAGUCAGUACAGUAUAGGUUGUUAGUCAGUACAGUAUAGGUUAGAGUUGUUAGUCAGUACAAUAUAGGUUGUUCGUCAGUACAGUAUAGGUUGUUAGUCAGUGCAGUAUAGGUUGUUAGUCAGUACAAUAUAGGUUAGAGUUGUUAGUUAGUACAAUAUAGGUUAGAGUUGUUAGUCAGAACAGUAUAGGUUGUUAGUCAGUACAGUAUAGGUUGUUAGUCAGUACAGUACAGGUUAGAGUUGUUAGUCAGUACAGUAUAGGUUGUUAGUUAGUACAAUAUAGGUUAGAGUUGUUAGUCAGUACAGUAUAGGUUGUUAGUCAGUAUAGUAUAGGUUGGAGUUGUUAGUCAGUACAGUAUAGGUUGUUAGUUAGUACAAUAUAGGUUAGAGUUGUUAGUCAGUACAGUAUAGGUUGUUAGUCAGUACAGUAUAGGUUGGAGUUGUUAGUCAGUACAGUAUAGGUUGUUAGUCAGUACAGUAUAGGUUAGAGUUGUUAGUCAGUACAGUAUAGAUUGUUAGUCAGUACAGUAUAGGUUGUUAGUCAGUACAGUAUAGGUUAGAGUUGUUAGUCAGUACAGUAUAGGUUGUUAGUCAGUACAGUAUAGGUUGUUAGUCAGUACAGUAUAGGUUAGAGUUGUUAGUCAGUACAGUAUAGGUUGUUAGUCAGUACAGUAUAGGUUGUUAGUCAGUACAGUAUAGGUUGUUAGUCAGUACAGUAUAGGUUGUUAGUCAGUACAGUAUAGGUUGUUAGUCAGUACAGUAUAGGUUAAAGUUGCACUGCUAUAAAGAA